GCACAACGCGAAGAACCUUACCCACCUUUGACAUGUACGGAAUCCUUUAGAGAUAGAGGAGUGCUCGAAAGAGAGCCGUAACACAGGUGCUGCAUGGCUGUCGUCAGCUCGUGUCGUGAGAUGUUGGGUUAAGUCCCGCAACGAGCGCAACCCUUGCCAUUAGUUGCUACGAAAGGGCACUCUAAUGGGACUGCCGGUGACAAACCGGAGGAAGGUGGGGAUGACGUCAAGUCCUCAUGGCCCUUAUAGGCGGGGCUACACACGUCAUACAAUGGCUGGUACAAAGGGUUGCCAACCCGCGAGGGGGAGCUAAUCCCAUAAAGCCAGUCGUAGUCCGGAUCGCAGUCUGCAACUCGGCUGCGUGAAGUCGGAAUCGCUAGUAAUCGUGGAUCAGAAUGUCACGGUGAAUACGUUCCCGGGUCUUGUACACACCG
rnacentral:rRNA from 1 species